rnacentral:rRNA from 1 species
AGUGAACGCUGGCGGCAUGCCUAACACAUGCAAGUCGAACGGCAGCACAGUAAGAGUUUGCUCUUACGGGUGGCGAGUGGCGGACGGGUGAGGAAUACAUCGGAAUCUACUCUUUCGUGGGGGUUAACGUAGGGAAACUUACGCUAAUACCGCAUAUGACCUACGGGUGAAAGCAGGGGAUCUUCGGACCUUGCGCGAUUGAAUGAGCCGAUGUCGGACUAGCUAGUUGGGGGGGUAAAGGCCCACCAAGGCGACGAUCCGUAGCUGGUCUGAGAGGAUGAUCGGCCACACUGGAACGGAGACACGGUCCAGACCCCUACGGGAGGCAGCAGUGGGGAAUCUCGGACAAUGGGCGCAAGCCUGAUCCAGCCAUACCGCGUGGGUGAAGAAGGCCUUCGGGUUGUAAAGCCCUUUUGUUGGGAAAGAACAGCAGCAGGUUGAUACCCAGCUGUUCUGACGGUACCCAAAGAAUAAGCACCGGCUAACUACGUG